UUGUUUUAGGAGUUGAUACAACUAAACUGAAAAUUGAUGAUGAGUCUAAUGUCACUGUAAAACAAGGCUACCAGAUUCUUUACGAAUGGUUCAAAAAUUGCGACCCAGAAACACGGACACACGCAACAUUAAGUGCAGCUCUUGAAGAAGCUGAAUGUUUCGCUGCGAUGGAAUGUCUGUCAUUAGACGCAAAGUAAAUUUCUGUGUAACUGUUGUUACACAGAGACUUAUGAUCAAACGCAUUCCAGUCAGGACCAUCAUGCCUAUUUCCAAAGAGAACCCACAACCACAUUGUCCAAUAUGCCCUUCUGUACAGUGAUAUCGUGUGAAUUUAGCUACUAAUUCUAGCAGGUAUAUCAGCCACAUAGUGAUCCCUUCACUUGUUUGGCUCCUUUGUUAAAAAUUCACAUUUAAAAUAGAGACAAACUUUGAAAUGUUCAUUUAUUGUUGUUGCUGUUGUUGUAUAUCUAAUCCCCCCCCCUAAACAACCCCAUUGUUAUAUAGACAGCUUUAAUAUCUUCUGCUAUAUUGAUAGUUAUCUACCUUCAUUUUUAGCUGAGAGUAGAAUGCCUG
rnacentral:lncRNA from 1 species